rnacentral:rRNA from 1 species
UGGGGAAUUUUGGACAAUGGGCGAAAGCCUGAUCCAGCAAUGCCGCGUGCAGGAUGAAGGCCUUCGGGUUGUAAACUGCUUUUGUACGGAACGAAAAGCUUUGGGUUAAUACCCUGGAGUCAUGACGGUACCGUAAGAAUAAGCACCGGCUAACUACGUGCCAGCAGCCGCGGUAAUACGUAGGGUGCAAGCGUUAAUCGGAAUUACUGGGCGUAAAGCGUGCGCAGGCGGUUUUGUAAGACAGAGGUGAAAUCCCCGGGCUCAACCUGGGAACUGCCUUUGUGACUGCAAGGCUAGAGUACGGCAGAGGGGGGUGGAAUUCCGCGUGUAGCAGUGAAAUGCGUAGAUAUGCGGAGGAACACCGAUGGCGAAGGCAACCCCCUGGGCCUGUACUGACGCUCAUGCACGAAAGCGUGGGGAGCAAACA